rnacentral:rRNA from 1 species
AUGAACGCUGGCGGCGUGCCUAAUACAUGCCAGUCGAGCGAACAGAUGAGGAGCUUGCUCCUCUGACGUUAGCGGCGGACGGGUGAGUAACACGUGGAUAACCUACCUAUAAGACUGGGAUAACUUCGGGAAACCGGAGCUAAUACCGGAUAAUAUAUUGAACCGCAUGGUUCAAUAGUGAAAGACGGUUUUGCUGUCACUUAUAGAUGGAUCCGCGCCGCAUUAGCUAGUUGGUAAGGUAACGGCUUACCAAGGCAACGAUGCGUAGCCGACCUGAGAGGGUGAUCGGCCACACUGGAACUGAGACACGGUCCAGACUCCUACGGGAGGCAGCAGUAGGGAAUCUUCCGCAAUGGGCGAAAGCCUGACGGAGCAACGCCGCGUGAGUGAUGAAGGUCUUCGGAUCGUAAAACUCUGUUAUUAGGGAAGAACAAAUGUGUAAGUAACUAUGCACGUCUUGACGGUACCUAAUCAGAAAGCCACGGCUAACUACGU